rnacentral:rRNA from 1 species
AUGGCGCCCGCAUCUGCGCCCUAUAAGCCCGGACAAAGCUCCUCCGAGGCCAUGACCUCCGCAGGUGUUCUUACAUCUCCUGAAUGGAUGAUUCUCUUUGCAUUUCGGCCGCUCGGCCCACUUCCGAUGAUCCACUACAUCAUCACUGUUUGGAGGGGAGGCCGCAAGGCGGGACAGCCAGUAGCGGCAUUUUGUUCGGGGAUGCGUGGAUCUGGUGAUGCUGGAGCUUGGGAACAGGAAACAUCAUAUCCGCAAUGGCGUUUCAAAUAG